GAUGAACGCGGGCGGCGUGCCUAAUACAUGCAAGUCGAGCGAACAGACGAGGAGCUUGCUCCUCUGACGUUAGCGGCGGACGGGUGAGUAACACGUGGAUAACCUACCUAUAAGACUGGGAUAACUUCGGGAAACCGGAGCUAAUACCGGAUAAUAUAUUGAACCGCAUGGUUCAAUAGUGAAAGACGGUUUUGCUGUCACUUAUAGAUGGAUCCGCGCCGCAUUAGCUAGUUGGUAAGGUAACGGCUUACCAAGGCAACGAUGCGUAGCCGACCUGAGAGGGUGAUCGGCCACACUGGAACUGAGACACGGUCCAGACUCCUACGGGAGGCAGCAGUAGGGAAUCUUCCGCAAUGGGCGAAAGCCUGACGGAGCAACGCCGCGUGAGUGAUGAAGGUCUUCGGAUCGUAAAACUCUGUUAUUAGGGAAGAACAAAUGUGUAAGUAACUAUGCACGUCUUGACGGUACCUAAUCAGAAAGCCACGGCUAACUACGUG
rnacentral:rRNA from 1 species